rnacentral:rRNA from 1 species
CCUACGGGAGGCAGCAGUGGGGAAUCUUGCGCAAUGGGCGAAAGCCUGACGCAGCCAUGCCGCGUGAAUGAUGAAGGUCUUAGGAUUGUAAAAUUCUUUCACCGGGGACGAUAAUGACGGUACCCGGAGAAGAAGCCCCGGCUAACUUCGUGCCAGCAGCCGCGGUAAUACGAAGGGGGCUAGCGUUGCUCGGAAUUACUGGGCGUAAAGGGAGCGUAGGCGGAUAGUUUAGUCAGAGGUGAAAGCCCAGGGCUCAACCUUGGAAUUGCCCUUGAUACUGGCUAUCUUGAGUACGGAAGAGGUAUGUGGAACUCCGAGUGUAGAGGUGAAAUUCGUAGAUAUUCGGAAGAACACCAGUGGCGAAGGCGACAUACUGGUCCGUUACUGACGCUGAGGCUCGAAAGCGUGGGGAGCAAACAGGAUUAGAUACCCUGGUAGUCCACGCUGUAAACGAUGAGUGCUAGUUGUCGGCAUGCAUGCAUGUCGGUGACGCAGCUAACGCAUUAAGCACUCCGCCUGGGGAGUACGGUCGCAAGAUUAAAACUUAAAUGAAUUGACGG